UAUCAAAGUCAAAUAUUUAACAGACUGACAAAUUGCCUCGGGGGGGAAGUGAUUAACUCAGACAGGUGACCAAGUGCAGCUGAAUCAAGGCAUGUGAUGCACAAUACAACCCAAGCACCAUCGACCAAAAUACCCACAGCUGCCGACAGAAAGGGUCACAAAACCUCUGCUCCUAACUCCAAGGAACAUUUCCUAACAGGAUGAAAGCGCUUCACUUGAUCCUCGGUCUCCUGCUGCUGUCGUGGGAUAUCCAGCCGGUAGAUUCGACCACUGUAACCUGCAAGUUCCUCAGCGGCUCCUGCACCGGCCUGCCUUGCAGCCUUGGCUACAAUGAAGAGAAGAGGUUCUGCGACGACGGGUCCAAUUGCUGUUAUCCAUAACUGCACCAGCCCUGGGGUGGAACAGCUUGACCCCUCCACCAGAGUAUGUUGGCCAAUGGUUCAGCCGCGAAGUACAGGCUGGGCUUUAAAUGGGAACAUCCCUCUCUAGAAUCUGCUUCCAGGGUGUAUAAAUAGUUGGUUGAGCUUAAAAAAUAAACAAUGCAUCGAUAA